rnacentral:tRNA from 1 species
UAGCUUAGUUGGUAAAGCGCCACCUUGCCAAGGUGGAGACCGCGGGUUCGAGCCCCGU